CUGCGAAUGGCUCAUUAUAUAAGUUAUCGUUUAUUUGAUAGUACCUUACUACUUGGAUAACCGUGGUAAUUCUAGAGCUAAUACAUGCUUAAAAUCCCGACUUCGGAAGGGAUGUAUUUAUUAGAUUAAAAACCAAUGCCCUUCGGGGCUCUCUGGUGAUUCAUGAUAACUUCUCGAAUCGCAUGGCCUUGUGCCGGCGAUGGUUCAUUCAAAUUUCUUCCCUAUCAACUUUCGAUGUUUGGGUAUUGGCCAAACAUGGUUGCAACGGGUAACGGAGGGUUAGGGCUCGACCCCGGAGAAGGAGCCUGAGAAACGGCUACUACAUCCAAGGAAGGCAGCAGGCGCGCAAAUUACCCAAUCCCGACUCGGGGAGGUAGUGACAAUAAAUACUGAUACAGGGUUCUUUUGGAUCUUGUAAUUGGAAUGAGUACAAUUUAAAUCCCUUAACGAGGAACAAUUGGAGGGCAAGUCUGGUGAACGUUGCUGGUGCCAGAAAUAGCCGUGCCCUGAAAUCGGCUAGUCGAGUGCUCGUCAAUGUGGCGGGUGAGCACCGGCGAGACAACCUGGAUCGGGGGAGGCUAAGGGCGUCAGUGCCUAUGCUAAUCCCGAGCGGAGUCGAGAGACCCGUGUAGAGCGCGCAAAGGUGUCGGUUCUGGGGAGGCAACUCCCCAGGGCUUAAGGUACGUGCCAAUCCCAUGGGAAACCAUGGCCGAAUGGAUAAGCACCCGCCGUGCAAAGCCUUCGGAAGCCUGCUCUGGGCGCAAGCCCUCGCAGACUGUACUAUAAAGUGGCCAGCAGCCGCGGUAAUUCCAGCUCCAAUAGCGUAUAUUAAAGUUGUUGUGGUUAAAAAGCUCGUAGUUGAACCUUGGGCCUGGCUGGCCGGUCCGCCUCACCGCGUGUACUGGUCCGGCCGGGCCUUUCCCUCUGUGGAACCCUAUGCCCUUCACUGGGUGUAGCGGGGAAACAGGACUUUUACUUUGAAAAAAUUAGAGUGCUCCAGGCAGGCCUUUGCUCGAAUACAUUAGCAUGGAAUAAUAAAAUAGGACGUGUGGUUCUAUUUUGUUGGUUUCUAGGACCGCCGUAAUGAUUAAUAGGGACAGUCGGGGGCAUCAGUAUUCAAUUGUCAGAGGUGAAAUUCUUGGAUUUAUUGAAGACUAACUACUGCGAAAGCAUUUGCCAAGGAUGUUUUCAUUAAUCAGGAACGAAAGUUAGGGGAUCGAAGACGAUCAGAUACCGUCGUAGUCUUAACCAUAAACUAUGCCGACUAGGGAUCGGACGAUGUUAAAAAUUGACUCGUUCGGCACCUUACGAGAAAUCAAAGUGC
rnacentral:rRNA from 1 species